rnacentral:rRNA from 1 species
GAUGAACGCUAGCGAUAGGCUUAACACAUGCAAGUCGAGGGGCAGCAUGGUCUUAGCUUGCUAAGACUGAUGGCGACCGGCGCACGGGUGCGUAACGCGUAUGCAACUUGCCUCACAGAGGGGGAUAACCCGUCGAAAGACGGACUAAUACCGCGUACACUUGGGAUAGGGCAUCCUGACCCAAGGAAAUGAAAUUCGCUGUGAGAUAGGCAUGCGUCCCAUUAGCUAGUUGGUGAGGUAACGGCUCACCAAGGCGACGAUGGGUAGGGGAACUGAGAGGUUGAACCCCCACACUGGUACUGAGACACGGACCAGACUCCUACGGGAGGCAGCAGUGAGGAAUAUUGGUCAAUGGGCGAGAGCCUGAACCAGCCAAGUCGCGUGAAGGAUGACUGUCUUAUGGAUUGUAAACUUCUUUUAUACGGGAAUAACAAGAGCCACGUGUGGCUACCUGCAUGUACCGUAUGAAUAAGCAUCGGCUAACUCCGUG